GCGGAUGUGGAGGCACCGGCGGCCAAGCGGCUGGCCCGCGCGGGCAGCUUCUCGGGCGUGUGGUGGAAGCUCGGCGACCCCGCCGGGGACCCGGCCGCGGUGGAGCGCCGGCUGCGCGCCGUCGCCGACGAGGAGGCCGCCGUCCGUGCCCGCAUCCAGAGCCGCCACGCCAGUGCGCGCGGCGUCCGGCGCGGCAUCGCCGUCGCCUCCCUCGCCAUCGAGGUGGUGGCGUUGGUUCAUGCUUACUGGACGGCGAGGCGGCGGAGCGUGGCCGGGUGGAGCAGGAAGCUGCUGCUCCUGUUUGCGCCUCCUCUGCUCGCCGUACCCGCCUCGGCCGCCGUCGUCUUGGCUGCGUUCGCCAGGCUGCACAAAAUGUUGGAGGCGCGGGACGAGCAGCGGCUGAGGGCGCUGGUGGCGGAGCGCAAGGCCAAGAUCGGGCAGUUCAGAGGCAGCCACCACAACAUGCAGAAGCUCAUCGAGGUCUCCACUAAGUACGAUCCAGAUGCUGCUGCUGCUGCUGCUACUUCCGACCAGCCGGUCACUGCCGCCGCCGCCGGGAGGAUCAAGCGGAGCCACUCGCGGCUGAGCUUCCACAUCGGAGACGACUGA
rnacentral:rRNA from 1 species